GGGAAUUCAUUUUUUUCCUCUUUUUUUUAUUUUCCACCUACGCUCUCUCUCUCUCUCUCUCUCAAUACUCUCUCACACAAGAUCCACGAGAACCCACCUCCAAUAGAUUGUAAUCUAGUGAACUCGGCUCGUAGGUCGCGCGGAUAGAGCUCGGAGGGGGUUUUCUUGAUGGGUUUCCGAAAAAAAUCAAGUUUAGAGCUUAGGGCUUGGCUUUGAUCUUUGAGUUCAAAACCCUUGAGGUACCAAUCAAGGUGUAUAGCGUGGAGUGCCGGGGUGCAUUGCCGGAGAUCUUUAAAAGCUUAUAUUGAAAGAGUUCUUUUAUCAUCUUGUAAACUAUCUUUUGGGAGAUGAAUUUGUAACUUCAUUUGUCUAUCCUUGGACUUUGGAAAAAAAAAAUGUAUUGAUACUAAACAUUUUAUUCUCUUUCGAAUUUUAUGCAACAUCGACACGGAGUAGCUUGAAUAA